AGCUGCUCCCUCAACACAAACACAAACACCCAUGGAGUAGAAACAGAAAAUUAGACAGUUGAGGAGACAAUUCACAUGGAUUCAAGAGAUUUACAAAGAAUACUUUAUUUUAACGUGGAAGAUAUAAAAAUCCCCAAGAUGGAAAGGCAUCUUCCACUACUACGGGGAUUGUCUCAUGGGGAGCGUUGCUACAUGUUCAGUAUCAUCAAUGUCUAUGACCCAGAACCAGCUCGAAGGAGAUUAUACCACAAACACAAAAUGCUCUGCAAAAAGGCCCUCUCAUAUUGAACAUUGAAGAAAAGCACCGUCAUCAGACUAUUAUCAUAAUUCGGAAGCAAUCACUCUGAAACCAUUACAGAAAGAAAGUUUAUUUACCUCCGGAAAAAUACAGGCAGCAUUUCAUCAAGAGUCGGAAUCAUCCUGGAUCCCACAUUCUCCCAGUAUUACUAUGUAGCCUUUCCAUAGUGGGCUGAACUUCCAGUCACACUUUACUCACAAGCACCACAACUAAAGCAGGAAUUCACACAAGACACGAUGUUACAAUAGUGAUAGAACACCAAUCAUCCUAAAUAUUCACAGUAAGAACCCUGAUGUGAAAAGGCAAAGUGGUGGGAUUCACCAUAUAUGUGUAAAGCUCCAUACUAGCUGUCCAACUCGUGUACUCUUUCUUUCAUCAUAGGAUGUGCAAGACUUCUCUCAUGUCCAUUAUUAAAAACAAAAUUAUACCAGA